GACGAACGCUGGCGGCGUGCCUAAUACACGCAAGUUGAGCGCUGAAGGUUGGUACUUGUACCAACUGGAUGAGCAGCGAACGGGUGAGUAACGCGUGGGGAAUCUGCCUUUGAGCGGGGGACAACAUUUGGAAACGAAUGCUAAUACCGCAUAAAAACUUUAAACACAAGUUUUAAGUUUGAAAGAUGCAAUUGCAUCACUCAAAGAUGAUCCCGCGUUGUAUUAGCUAGUUGGUGAGGUAAAGGCUCACCAAGGCGAUGAUACAUAGCCGACCUGAGAGGGUGAUCGGCCACAUUGGGACUGAGACACGGCCCAAACUCCUACGGGAGGCAGCAGUAGGGAAUCUUCGGCAAUGGACGAAAGUCUGACCGAGCAACGCCGCGUGAGUGAAGAAGGGUUUCGGAUCGUAAAACUCUGUUGGUAGAGAAGAACGUUGGUGAGAGUGGAAAGCUCAUCAAGUGACGGUAACUACCCAGAAAGGGACGGCUAACUACGUG
rnacentral:rRNA from 1 species